AACCCUGUGGGAAUACGGGUGGACCAUCAUCCAAGCCUAAAUACUACCUGGUGACCGAUAGAGAAGCAGUACCGUGAGGGAAAGGUGAAAAGGACCCCGGGAGGGGAGUGAAAGAGAACCUGAAACCUUGUGCCUACAAGCACCGAGAGCAUGUUAAUGUGUGAUCGGGUACUUUUUGUAGAACGGUCCGGCGAGUUAAUGUAUGCAGCAAGGUUAAGAAACUGGAGUUUUGGAGCCGAAGCGAGAGCGAGUCUGAAUAGGGCGAGAAGUUGCAUGUAUUAGACCCGAAACCGGGUGACCUAUCCAUGAGCAGGCUGAAGUUGCGGUAAGACGCAAUGGAGGGCCGCACCCACGUUCGUUGAAAAGACCGGGGAUGACUUGUGGAUAGCGGAGAAAUUCCAAUCGAACUCGGAUAUAGCUGGUUCUCCCCGAAAUAGCUUUAGGGCUAGCGUUAUGAUAGAUUACCGGAGGUAGAGCACUGAAUGGGCUAGGGGCCGCGAGGUUACUGAACCCUAUCAAACUUCAAAUGCCGGAUAAUUGUUUCAUGGCAGUCAGACUGUGUGAGAUAAGUCGCAUAGUCAAAAGGGAAACAGCCCAGAUCUACAGCUAAGGUCCCAAAUGAAUACUAAGUGGAAAAUGAUGUGAAAUUGCUAAGACAACCAGGAUGUUGGCUUAGAAGCAGCCACUCAUUCAAAGAGUGCGUAAUAGCUCACUGGUCGAGUGAUUUUGCGCAGAAAAUUUAACGGGGCUAAGUAUUCAACCGAAGCUUAGGCAGUAUAUAAAUACUGGGUAGGGGAGCGUCGUAUGCGGGGCGAAGUCAGAGUGGAAACACUGGUGGACUGCAUACGAGUGAGAAUGCCGGAAUAAGUAGCGAGAAUUAUGUGAGAAUCAUAAUGGCCGAAAAUCUAAGGUUUCUUGGGGAAGGUUCGUCCGCCCAAGGUUAGUCGGGAGCUAAGCUCAGGCCGAAAGGCGUAGGCGAUGCACAUACGGUUGAUAUUCCGUAACCACCGAAAGCGUUAAACCAGAGGACACAUUCAUUAAUUCUAACCCGGGCGAUGGUUGCCCCGGGCGUAAGGGACCGAAAUAAUAGUAGGGAAGUAGAAGGCGUGAGUGGCGAGAAAAGUCUGGCGUAUUGCUGAGGUGCCCGUACCGCAAACCGACACAGGUAGAUGGGAUGAGUAUUCUAAGGCCAACGGGAGAAUGGUUGUUAAGGAACUCGGCAAAUUGGCCCCGUAACUUCGGAAUAAGGGGCGCCUCUGAGAAGAGGCCGCAGUGAAAAGGCCCAAGCGACUGUUUAGCAAAAACACAGCUCUCUGCUAAAUCGAAAGAUGACGUAUAGGGGGUGACGCCUGCCCGGUGCUGGAAGGUUACGAGGAGGGCUUAGGAGUAAUCCGAAGGUCUGAAUUUAAGCCCCAGUAAACGGCGGCCGUAACUAUAACGGUCCUAAGGUAGCGAAAUUCCUUGUCAGGUAAGUUCUGACCCGCACGAAUGGCGU
rnacentral:rRNA from 1 species